CCUAUUUUACCAUUGAGGACGAGAUAGGCAGAAAAAGGAGCGCUUGACUUGGCCUGCUCUGUUCUCCAGCCUUGUUUUGUGGAUUUCUAUCUCUCCAAAUAAUUCCUCAGCAUCCCCUUGAAUGGCAUCUACCGCACAGAGCUUUUCCAACCCACAAGCCUGAAACAACUUCCCACAACUGAAAUGACUCCAGCACAGCUAUUCCCUAGAAGACAUCCCUCCUGAUUUCUUGUGGGGCCUGUAAGAUAUCUGAAGUUGUAGAUUAAAUGAGAAAAACCAGUGCCAUCUCGACACCUGCCUCUGACCUUUUGUUGUGCUAGGAAGUGCGUAGAGGAAGGAACUGGGCCAGAAAUAGCAGAAAACUAAAUGAAGAUGUUGCACAGAACUUCUCCUGCACGGAUACAUGCUCACACUCCCUGCUCAUGCACAUGGAUGCAUAUAAAGACAAUAAUUUCUCACUGUUAUUACUGGAGGGAAAGAAAAGAACAUUAGCAGCACUAAGAAACCCCAUUUCGCCUUUGUAGGAAGUGACUCUACUGUAUAACUGCUAGCAAAAUAAAGGAUCCAAAGGCACAUCAAGGGGAAAAAACUGUUUUCAUGUGUUUAACCUGUUAAUUAUAGUAAUCUACACUACAGUGUAAGUAUUGUAACCUGGAAUGGGAAAUGGGUGUCUGAAAGAAUGAGCUGACUAAGACAAAAAUGAUUAAAUCCACACUUCGAAUGGACAAUUUUCAUACGUAAUUUGAGCUACACAUUCUUAAGUUGUUUCAUUUUCACAUUUCUGUACUCAUCGGCAGGUAUCAAAGUGAAAGACUGGCUAAAAUGAAUGUUUUCUUACCUUCAUCUGCUGGAGUAUUUUAAAUACUUCUCAAAUGCUGAAAGAUGUGUUCUUCUGGAUCCAUAAGAUGUGUUUUAAGACAUGUUUCAUGUUUAAUAUGAAGUCAGAUUUUGAAAUCUUAGGCAUCCCAACAACAUUGGUUCUUUUCAUCUGCAGAAGAAAAAAUAUAAAUGCAAUGUUACUUUGAUACUCCUGAAUAUUCAAAAAGUCCUUAUUAAUUAUCAUUGGCUUUCCACAUGAUAGAACUAGCUAUCAGGACUCCCACUGUGCUCAUGAUACAUGUCCUGAGCACAGAAUGGGUCACACACACGUUCUCCCGUUCCUUCAGCUCUGAAAGUCAAAUUCUUUCUUCUGAAAAUGGAUGGGGUGCAGGUGCUGUCCCUCUUCCUAUGCCUUCCUGUACUCAGAGCAGAAAAGAAAUAAAGGAAAUAUUACCAGAGUGAAGAAAUGGAGCUUGUGAGUCCCUGAGGAAGAGAUGGAUGGGGGGUGAGGAUGGACAUGGCCAGAUGGGGAUGAUGACAGUUAGAAGGAGCCGGGGCUAGGGGAGAAGAAGGGUAGGAGGGAACUUGCUCUUAGUAUGUUCUCCCCAUGCUGAAAUUACUUGAUAUUACUCUAUAUCCAUGUGUGCUAGUAACCCCUCAAGCACACAAACAUCUGGAGUGGCAGUAAUAGCCUGGUCCCGCUGCAGGGCUUGCUUCUUUCCACCUCUGGAAAAGAGAAGAUGCCACCUCUGAGGAUACACAAUUUGAUGCAAGGAUAGCCACAGCGCUUGUUGCCCUUUUCCAGACCUCCAGUCUUAGUCAUCCUUCAUUAGGUUCCAAAUCAAAUUUGGUCACACAUAGAUGUUUAUGUCACGUUUUCAAGUGAGGGGUAGGCAGAGGAAGAGUUGCUUUCUUUCUGCAGCUGCCAGGCCAUUCACUGGCUCAGGCAGUCAGUGGUCAUUAGCGUGUUCCUCCCCUGCCCUUCUCAUAACGAACUUGGGCUCUUCCCAGAACUCAAACAAAUGGCAUUGCCUGUGUCCAACACAUGGAUGCUCCUUGUGCAGAGUGAUCCUGGGCAUGCUGCCACUGAGCCAUCUCAAGUACUAUGGUCAUCUUCCUUUCUGUCUUGAUUCCUUUAUUUCCCUUCUCUGCUUUCAGGGCUCCUAUUAAGUGCAUACCAGGCUCUCUGAUGUAAAGUCAGACAAUUCCAGUGACUAUCCCCCAAACUAGUGGCUACUCAGAAUCGCAGAAAAACACACUGAAGAAGCUCCUCACCAAGAUUUUCCCUGAUUCACUGUAGGGGCAGCUGGUAACAACACCCUGUAUUCAGGUCAUUAAAACCUUUCUAUUAUAGAAAA
rnacentral:lncRNA from 1 species